AGAGUUUGAUCCUGGCUCAGAUUGAACGCUGGCGGCAUGCUUUACACAUGCAAGUCGAACGGCAGCACGGGGGCAACCCUGGUGGCGAGUGGCGAACGGGUGAGUAAUACAUCGGAACGUAUCCUUGAGUGGGGGAUAACGCAGCGAAAGUUGUGCUAAUACCGCAUGAGCUCUGAGGAGGAAAGUGGGGGACCGUAAGGCCUCACGCUGAAGGGGCGGCCGAUGUCCGAUUAGCUAGUUGGUGAGGUAAAGGCUCACCAAGGCUUCGAUCGGUAGCUGGUCUGAGAGGAUGAUCAGCCACACUGGGGACUGAGACACGGCCCAGACUCCUACGGGAGGCAGCAGUGGGGGAAUUUUGGACAAUGGGGGGCAACCCUGAUCCAGCCAUGCCGCGUGAGUGAAGAAGGCCCUUCGGGUUGUAAAGCUCUUUCGUGAGGGAAAGAAACGGCCAUAGUGAAUAGCUGUGGUUACUGACGGUACCCUCAAGAAGAAGCACCGGCUAAACUACGUGCCAGCCGCCGCGGU
rnacentral:rRNA from 1 species